CCGCUGGCCUGGGACAUUGUUUACUGCCUCCAGCCAUUCGGGAUGCACAGUUUCAGGACGACUGUAGCUAAUGUUUAGCAAUGUGAAGUACAAUCAAACCAGAGAGGCUAACGCUAACAAGUCAGUCAUAACGUGGCUAAUAGGCUAAUAGGCUAAUAGGCUAAUAGGCUAGCGUAUCUAUUUAUGUAGCUAUUUAGCACGCCUAAAUAUAGAGCCUAAUGCUAGCUAGCUAGCUAGCUGCUGGGAGGAUGUCAUGUCAUUGGACGAGUGGGUGAGUGGCCGACUUUUUCCCCCCGUAUCGUUUUUAUUUUCAGUGGCUACAGCUAGAGAUGCAGGUGUCAUUUGGUUAGCUAGCAAGAAAUGUCAAUCACUUUUGUUAGCAAGCUAUAAUGAAAACUUGAAUGACUGUUAUCCACAAGUAGGGCCUGCUCCUCUCCUCCUCCAGACAGUAGGGCCUGCUCCGCUCAUCCUCCAGACAGUAGGGCCUGCUCCGCUCCUCCUCCAGACAGUAGGGCAUGCUCCGCUCCUCCUCCAGACAGUAGGGCCUGCUCCCCUCCUCUUCCAGACAGUAGGGCCUGCUCCGCUCCACCUCCAGACAGUAGGGCCUGCUCCGCUCCUCCUCCAGACAGUAGGGCCUGCUCCGCUCCUCCUCCAGACAGUAGGGCAUGCUCCGCUCCUCCUCCAGACAGUAGGGCCUGCUCCGCUCCACCUCCAGACAGUAGGGCCUGCUCCGCUUCUCCUCCCGACAGUAGGGCCUGCUCCAAUCCUCCUCCCGACAGUAGGGCCUGCUCCGCUCAUCCUCCAGACAGUAGGGCCUGAUCUUUCUCCUCCAUCUUUCUCACCACCUCCUCUGUCUUUCUCUCCUCCUCCUCCGUCUUUUUCUCCUCCUCCAUCUUUAUCACCUCCAUCUCCAUCAUCUUUCUCAACGCCUCCUCCAUAUUUCUCACCUCCUCCAUCUUUCUCACCGCCUCCUCCAUAUUUAUCUCCUCCUCCAUCUUUCUGACCUCCUCCAUCUUUCUCACCACCUCCUUCAUCUUUCUCUCCUCCUCCUCCGUCUUUCUCUCCGCCUCCUCAUCUUUUCUCCUCCUCCAUCUUUCUCAC
rnacentral:lncRNA from 1 species